AGAAUUAUAGCUCAGUGGGUAGAGCAUGUGCCUGAUAAGCGCAAGGUCGUUAGUUCAACCCUAACUAAUUCUA
rnacentral:tRNA from 1 species